rnacentral:rRNA from 1 species
UACGUAGGGGGCAAGCGUUGUCCGGAAUGACUGGGCGUAAAGCGCGCGCAGGCGGUUUUCUGCGUCUGAGGUGAAAGUUCAGGGCUCAACCCUGAGAUGGCCUUGGAAACGAGAGAACUUGAGGGUCGGAGAGGUCAGGGGAAUUCCACGUGUAGCGGUGAAAUGCGUAGAGAUGUGGAGGAAUACCAGUGGCGAAGGCGCCUGACUGGACGAAACCUGACGCUGAGGCGCGAAGGCGUGGGGAG